UUACAGCCAUAUCACGUUGAAACACCGGUUCCUGUGCGAUCAACGAAGUUAAGCAACGUCGAGUUUGAUCAGUACCUAGAUGGGUGACAGCUUGGGAAUACCAGGUACUGUAAG
rnacentral:rRNA from 1 species